GACGAACGCUGGCGGCGUGCCUAAUACAUGCAAGUCGAACGCAGUGGGGACGGGUGAGUAACACGUGGGUAACCUCCAAUCAGAGGGGAUAACACUUGGAAACAGGUGCUAAACCGAGACUGAUGGAUGGACUCGCGGUGCAUUAGCUAGUUGGUGAGGUAACGGCUCACCAAGGCCACGAUGCAUAGCCGACCUGAGAGGGUGAUCGGCCACACUGGGACUGCGACACGGCCCAGACUCCUACGGUAGGCAGCAGUUGCGAAUCUUCGGCAAUUGACGAAAGUCUGACCUAGCAACGCCGCUGGAGUGAAGAAGGUUUUCGGCUCGUAAAACUCUGUUGUUAGAGAAGCGGUAUCUAACCAGAAAGCCACGGCUAACUACGUGCCAGCAGCCGCGGUAAUAC
rnacentral:rRNA from 1 species